rnacentral:rRNA from 2 species
GUCGACGCCUCUCGUUUAGAUUGAAGGAGCUUGCUCCUGAUUGAUAAACAUUUGAGUGAGUGGCGGACGGGUGAGUAACACGUGGGUAACCUGCCCUAAAGUGGGGGAUAACAUUUGGAAACAGAUGCUAAUACCGCAUAAAACCUAACACCGCAUGGUGUAGGGUUGAAAGAUGGUUUCGGCUAUCACUUUAGGAUGGACCCGCGGUGCAUUAGUUAGUUGGUGAGGUAAAGGCUCACCAAGACCGUGAUGCAUAGCCGACCUGAGAGGGUAAUCGGCCACACUGGGACUGAGACACGGCCCAGACUCCUACGGGAGGCAGCAGUAGGGAAUCUUCCACAAUGGACGAAAGUCUGAUGGAGCAACGCCGCGUGAGUGAAGAAGGUUUUCGGAUCGUAAAACUCUGUUGUUGGAGAAGAAUGUAUCUGAUAGUAACUGAUCAGGUAGUGACGGUAUCCAACCAGAAAGCCACGGCUAACUACGUGCCAGCAGCCGCGGUAAUACGUAGGUGGCAAGCGUUGUCCGGAUUUAUUGGGCGUAAAGCGAGCGCAGGCGGUUUCUUAAGUCUGAUGUGAAAGCCUUCGGCUCAACCGAAGAAGUGCAUCGGAAACUGGGAAACUUGAGUGCAGAAAGAGGACAGUGGAACUCCAUGUGUACGAUGGCC